rnacentral:rRNA from 1 species
AUUGAACGCUGGCGGCAGGCUUAACACAUGCAAGUCGAACGAGUGGCGGACGGGUGAGUAAUGCUUGGGAAUCUAGCUUAUGGAGGGGGAUAACUACGGGAAACUGUAUCUAAUACCGCGUACCAUAGGAUGAGCCCAAGUGGGAUUCGGUAGUUGGUGGGGUAACGGCUUACCACGGCGACGAUCGCUAGCUGGUCUGAGAGGAUGACCAGCCACACUGGGACUGAGACACGGACCAGACUCCUACGGGAGGCAGCAUUGGGGAAUAUUGCGCAAUGGGGGCAACCUGACGCAGCCAUGCCGCGUGAAUGAAGAAGGCCUUCGGGUUGUAAAGUUCUUUCGGUAGCGAGGCGUUAACUACAGAAGAAGCACCGGCUAACUCCGUGCCAGCAGCCGCGGUAAUUC